rnacentral:lncRNA from 1 species
UGCCGUCCGCGCGAGCGCCGGAGUGCCGCGCGCCGUGCCGGGCCACGCCAUGGCUGACCGCCUGCACUAGGCCGAGACGCCGCGCCGGGCAAUAGCCGGCGCACGGGCUGCCAUGGCCGCCAUCGAUCACCGUGGUCGGCUGCCGUCGAUGGCGAGGAGGCGGCACCAUGGUGACGGCGGCGAUGGAGAUUGUGCCGGCGACCAUCGCACAUUCUUCUUGUACAGCGAAGAAGAUGUCGAAGGAGACGGGAGAUCGCCGAUGGCGAGGGAGACCCACGACACCGUAUCUUCUGCUCUUCCUCCCUGUGUUUCUGUUUGGUGGGAAAGAGCAAAGUGCGGAUAACUUUUUGAGAAUUGAGAAACUACGACUAAGGGAUGAAUAGAAAUGGCUUUUGAUUCCAGAGAGAGUAUUGGAGAAAUAAGUGAAUCAUGUUUCUCCUCCUUUAUAUCUAGAUAUGUUAGAUCCAUCCAAGGAGAUAUAUGUGAAUCAUACUUCUCCUCCUAUUUAUUUAGAUAAAUUAGAUCUAUCCCUUGGAUGGAUGAGAUCACUCCAAAUAUUUCAUAACAUGUAUAUCGAAGGUACUGACUCCAUUUCAGCAUAACUUUAUUUUUUAAUUUCUGUGU